UACGGAGGGUGCAAGCGUUGUUCGGAAUCACUGGGCGUAAAGGGCGUGUAGGCGGUCCGCUAAGUCUGAUGUGAAAGCCCGGGGCUCACCCCCGGAAGGGCAUUGGAAACUGGCGGACUCGAGUCUCGGAGAGGAAGGUGGAAUUCCUGGUGUAGCGGUGAAAUGCGUAGAUAUCAGGAGGGAUACCGGUGGCGAAGGCGGCCUUCUGGACGAUGACUGACGCUGAGACGCGAAAGCGUGGGGAGCAAACAGG
rnacentral:rRNA from 1 species